AUCACCGUGUAGAGAACUUGCAGACUUCUCUUAUGCAGAAUAGAAUGCAUGAACUACUUGGGAGAUAGAUUGUGAAGAGCAAAGUUUGGCCAUUAACUUGGGAUCCACCAACCAACAAAGACUCCUUCAGGCUUCAUUCUUCAGCCAUUGGUCCUCAAGGGUGGAAAACUACAUCUUGAGGAGUUUAGUUACAUAUCUGAUAGGUUGCAGUGCUCCAGCUAGAACUCAGGAAAGACGAGAAGGUACAAGAAAAUGUUGAUGAAGAAUUGACUGUGAUAGCCGUGGAACACACCUUGUUUAAUUUUAGUCCUCACAAUAAUCUUAUGUCGUUGGCAGAUCCCUAUUUUUAUUCCUCCACAGCUUUAUUGAGAAAUAAUUGGCAAACAAAAUUGUAGAAGUUUAAGGUGUACGAUCCAUGAUUUGAUAUACAUAUAUAUUAUGAAAUGACUACCACAAUCAAGUUAGUCAACAUAUCUAUCACCUCACCUACUUACCUUUUUUUUUUUUUUGGUUUUGUUUUGUGGUGAGAACAUUUAAGAUCUGUCAGCAAAUUUCAGCUAUACAAAUUGCACGCAUUAAGUACAUUUACAAUGUUGUACAUCCGUUACUACUAUCCAUUUCCAGAACUUUUUCAUCAUCCCAAACAGAAGCUCUAUGCCCAUUAAAUAAUAACUCCUCAUUCUCCUUCCCAACUGCCCCUGGUAAUUUCUAUUCUACUUUCA
rnacentral:lncRNA from 1 species